GUUGGUUCCUUUCGGAUGGUCCGGGAGCUGUCCAGCCAAAUCCUACCUUUGGUUAGCGGAAGCUUCUUCGAUUGGGUUAUCAUUAGGACAUUUCCUAUGACAAUGGUGAACUUUGGACUAGGGUGAAGACAACUACAUUUGCAGGCUGAAGGAAGCCUCAACACAUAUCACCACCCGGGGACUGUCCAGUAUUCAGCUAAAUGUGGCAGGUUUGAAAUUGGUGAAUGCUAGAACCCUCACUAUUGAGGCCAUUCUCUUACCCAAAGUAUUUUUAUCAGAA